rnacentral:lncRNA from 1 species
CAGAACAACCCAGCAACAUCCCUAGAUCACAUUUUAUUGAUAUUUCAUUUAAAGUGCUUUUUCUCUUUCUCUAGAAACUGGGUUAAUCUAUAACCUGGGGUGUAGAAACACUCCACUUUAAAUCUCAUCUUGCUAACUUGACUUCAAAGCUUUAAUGAUCCAUUAUUUGCCAUGUAAACAGAUUUAAGAAUGAAAUAUUGAUUUUUCUGACCCUGGGGGGAAAAAAAAAGAAUCCUAGAAUGACUGAACCAGAGGAUUGGAAAGAAGCCUUUCUGAAGUGCAUUUUCCAGCUAGUAACCAUUGUUUUGUUUUAUUUUUGUUUUUCUGUUUUAGACCUGUUUGCCUGGACCCAUCAACAGCUGGGAGACUAAUCAAC